rnacentral:rRNA from 1 species
UACAGAGGGUGCGAGCGUUAAUCGGAAUUACUGGGCGUAAAGCGUGCGCAGGCGGUUUCUUAAGUCAGAUGUGAAAGCCCCGGGCUUAACCUGGGAACUGCGUUUGAAACUGGGAGACUUGAGUGUGGCAGAGGGGGGUGGAAUUCCACGUGUAGCAGUGAAAUGCGUAGAUAUGUGGAGGAACACCGAUGGCGAAGGCAGCCCCCUGGGUCAACACUGACGCUCAUGCACGAAAGCGUGGGGAGCAAACAGG